rnacentral:rRNA from 1 species
UACGGAGGGGGCUAGCGUUAAUCGGAAUUACUGGGCGUAAAGCGUGCGCAGGCGGUUUUGUAAGUCUGUCGUGAAAUCCCCGGGCUCAACCUGGGAAUUGCGAUGGAGACUGCAAGGCUAGAAUCUGGCAGAGGGGGGUAGAAUUCCACGUGUAGCAGUGAAAUGCGUAGAGAUGUGGAGGAACACCGAUGGCGAAGGCAGCCCCCUGGGUCAAGAUUGACGCUCAUGCACGAAAGCGUGGGGAGCGAACAGG